rnacentral:rRNA from 1 species
CCUACGGGUGGCAGCAGUCGAGAAUCAUUCACAAUGGGGGAAACCCUGAUGGUGCGACGCCGCGUGGGGGAAUGAAGGUCUUCGGAUUGUAAACCCCUGUCAUGUGGGAGCAAAUUAAAAAGAUAGUACCACAAGAGGAAGAGACGGCUAACUCUGUGCCAGCAGCCGCGGUAAUACAGAGGUCUCAAGCGUUGUUCGGAAUCACUGGGCGUAAAGCGUGCGUAGGCUGUUUCGUAAGUCGUGUGUGAAAGGCGGGGGCUCAACCCGCGGACGGCACAUGAUACUGCGAGACUAGAGUAAUGGAGGGGGAACCGGAAUUCUCGGUGUAGCAGUGAAAUGCGUAGAUAUCGAGAGGAACACUCGUGGCGAAGGCGGGUUCCUGGACAUUAACUGACGCUGAGGCACGAAGGCCGGGGGAGCGAAAGGGAUUAGAUACCCCUGUAGUC